rnacentral:hammerhead_ribozyme from 1 species
GCACUGUUGAGAAGUCCAACAAUAGGACGAAACGGCCGUCCAGUGA